rnacentral:lncRNA from 1 species
UUCACAUAAACGGUAUUCAUCAAAAGAUGGAGAAUGUUGAAAAGGAGACAAAGGCCUGCAGCCAUUGUGGUAUAACUGACACAACCUCUCCUUCAGGGACAUCCACUGGACAUGCCCAUCUGGAGUUUAAGAAUAUGGACGUUUUCUGCAUCUCUGUGUUUUGAAGAGGUGUGAGAGCCAAAAAAAAUUGAAUAAUCACUAGCUUUUAAUCUAGGGAAGUUUGGAAGUGACUUUUAAAGGAGCAGGGCUGCUCUAGAGAAUAGCGUGUUUACAUGUUUACAUAGUUAUUGUAAAGUCUUACUAUCAUAAAAAAGGCCUACCCUCAUAAACUAUAUUAGGAAAUAUUAUUUUUAGAAUAUUGUUACUGUGUAACAAUUUAAUUGAAAUUAUUUCUCAAAUAUUUGUUGGAAUGCACCACUGAAGAAAAAUGAGCCAUAAAUUUCCAUGGCAAUAAGAUUUUGGUUAUUGAAUCAAUAUAUAUUUUUUUUUAAGCCCACACCUGAAGCCUAUGGAAGUUCUUGGGCUAAGGGUCAAAUCAGAGCUGUAGCUGCUGGCCUAUACCACAGCCACAACUACUGCAGCAUAGGAUCUGAGCAGCUUGCAGAAACACUGGACCCUAACCUGCUGAGAGAGGCCAGGGAUUGAAUGUGCAUCUCCUAGAGACAAUGUCAGGUCCCUGAUCUGCUGAGCCACAAAGGGAACUCCUUGAAUCAAUACUUUAAUAAUGAACUAUUAAAGUUUUUAAUUUUUAUGAGUCAUUUUAUUUUUAUUGCAAUUUGUGUAUUUCAUUUCGAUUAUCAAAGACAUUGAUACAGUUUUAUAGCAUCCUUUUAUUAGUUUUAGUGUCUCAACUUCUAAAAUAAAAACUUCUUCUUUUUUUUUACCUGGAAAAGGUUGUUUGUGUCUUUACGAUCUUUUUCUUAAUGCCUCAGGACUGGUGUGCAUAAUUCUGGAUCUCUUUUAAUUGAGACAAAAAUAUAUUCUCAUACUUAUUUGCCCUACUCAUUUUCUGAUUUUGUUGCUAAAAAACAAAACUAUUCCCUAACAUUUUUGUACCAUUCAGUUCCAUAAUUAUUAUUUAUCUAUAACUAUACAAAGAUGCAAAGUGUCUAACAAGUGAUUAUUUUUAGCCUGCCCCUUCUAGAUACUAUAGCUUUGAGAGAUUGCUUCCUUUAAUGCUUAUGUUGAGGAAUACUAGGACUUCAUAGAGAUUAAGUAAUUUGCCAGUUGGUGAUUAGUAAAGUAACACAGCCAGGGUUCAGAGCCGGGUUUGUCUGAAAUUAACCCCACACAUGUCCACAACUAUAGUGGACUACUUUAAGAAAUGUGCAAAGUGAGUUCUUUUGUAGUGCAGUGGGUUAAGGAUCUGGUAUUGUCAAUGCAGUGUCUUGGGUCACUGCUGUGGCACAGGUUUGAUCCCUGGCCUGGGAAAUUCUGCAUGUCCCAGGUGCAGGCAAAAAAAAAAAAAAGAAAAAAAAAAAAAAAAAAAGAAAGACAUGUGCAAAGUGACUGCAAUCUCUAAGCCCAAGUCAAGCAAUCAAACAACCUGAUCAAAAAAAUGAAUAAAGUAGAACUAAAUCAAAAACAUAUAUUACGACUUUUGCAAAAAGAGGUACAUGCAAAAUAUAAAAGAGUUCACAUUCUUACAUUUUAUAACCCAUACACAAGUUGUUCUAAUAACGUGACGAAAGGACCUGUGCAAUUUAGUGAAUCCUACAUAUUUAAUGUAAUCAUACUCAGUUUUACUAAAAAUAUGGUUUUAUAUAUAGUCUGCUUUAGAGUUUGAUCAUCAUUACACUGUGGAUAAUUCAACAUACAGGGUUUCAAUUCAUGACUUUUAAAUGUAGAUAAUUUCAGUGUCAUUUUGUGAAAGUAUUUACGUUUGCCACAUUUUUAAUGAGAAAAAUUCUGGAGAAUUUUAUCUAAUGGUAGGCCUGGCUAUUAAUUCUUGCUGUCUAUUGUUACAUAGUCCUCAGAUUUGGUAGAUAAGAAUCAUAAAAGGAAGUAGGUAAGAUUAAAGGGAUGGAGAGUCACUGCGUUUAAUGAGUUCACAUAGUGUUCUGUCAUAACAAAUUACCCCAUGGUGCUUAUGAUUAACUAGGCUGCCACUUGCUCUAUGAGUUUAUAGCCAAGUAAGCAUAAUAGAAAACUGUUUACAAAAUUAGAAGGCUGCCUUAAUUUUAUAUUUAUUACCAUCUUGUCAUUGUUGAUAACACUUCAUCAUAUUCAUGCACUUGCCUGGAGAGAUCAAAAUUAAAAUUUACUUAAAGAGGAAUAUUGUAGCUCAGUGUAAGAUCAAUGAGGCAAUUCAGUGCAACAGACAAUAAAGUGUACAAAUUGGAAUGAAUUUUUUCCAGUUUGAAAAUAACAGCAUUGCAGUCACCUCAAAGAGUUUCUUUAUUCAGUGCUAUCAUGUAUUUCUAUUACAGGGAAAUGCAUACCAUUAAGUCUAUUAGGGGCGAUGUACAAAUAAUAAUAUUUGGGGCAUGCUAUACAUUUUCAUCCUGGGAUUGCAGCCUUGUCUGAUUUUAGAAAAGAGCCAUGGGUCAAUGUCUUUUUGCAGAGGUGCUGGGAAGACAGAAUAUGUACUAUCCAGCCACACAUAAUAAAAGUGCAAAUAAAUCAUGUAGAAACACAAUCAGUCAUAUUAUGGAAGUGUUAUCAAAUUCAGAGCUGAAGGGAGAUUGUAAAAUAGAUGUACACUCUGCUCUCAUGUCAGGUUGCUAACAAACAUGGUUCUUUAUUUUGCUAAUCAUCUCUGACCAGAAGGUAAAGCUUUAUUCUACCGCUGUCAAGUGGGGGCUAUCCAUCUCCCCAGAAUAAUCAACACAAUCUUCCCUGCUCAUUAACUGUGAUCCUAUAAUGCCUUCCAACCUGGAAGAAGUUCCUUCUGCCCCUCUUUGUGCUCCGUUAUCAAAGUCACUCCCAUAAAACUAUACAAAAUUGGUCUAACUGCCUCAUUUUCCUCUAAAUUUUUACUGAAUUCAUAACCCUUUAACCCCCUUAUGCUUCACACAGAUUAGUUUUUAUUCCUCCAAAUGUUCUCUGUUGAACUGUCCAGAGAGAAAAAAAUGUCAUUCAAACUGUAUCAAGAAAGUUGGUUGAACUAUGUUAUCCUUUGUAAUCCGGGGUAUUCUUAAAUUAUUGUUUUAUUUAUGGGCAUACAAAGGGUUAGAAAACAAAUAAAUGAGAGCUGCAGAUAAUAGCUAUAGGACUAUUCUAUAAUAACAACAAG